AGGGGUAGAGACGGGUGCACUGUGCAGAGGGAAUUUUUUUUUCAGCGCCGGAUCCUGCAGAGGGGCGAGGCGCUCUAUUUUGUUUUGUGGAAAUCGGCAAUUAUUUCUAGUUGGAUCAAUGGGCAUAAUUUCUGAGAGGUCGGGUGGGUCUGCGUAAGCUUCUACGCGCAUUUGGAAACCCAUUGGGUUUUGAGUUACGAAACCGCACAGACUUUCUCCCACCCCAGCGGCUCCGGGCAAUAAGCUAGGCCUGCCCUACACGGAGCAAGCGAGCGUCAGGCCUUCCCGAGGGAUUCCCAGAAGCAUGACCCGGUUCUGGUCGCAGUCCACCGAGGAUUGGAGCGGCAGUGACACGGGCGGCCCUGCAGCGGUAGAGCCAAGGCGAACGAGCCCCAAAUUCACGUUUUCACCCAAGAAUGCAAUCCAGAAUCCUUGUCCCCGUAUUCGAGUAGGGUGACCAGGAGAACCGAGGUGGGGGCAGGAAACCCAGACCGAGGGUGCCCCGCGAGUGGGCCGAGUUCCUUUCACUUUCCCCCAUUGCUCCGCAAUUUCGGGUGCAACUACCUGGGCCAAGCCCAGCUUCAGAGACUGGCCCCGUGCUCUGGAGAAAGCAACCACCACGGGAAGAGACUGCAGCCUCAGCGUCUCCUUGUCCGCUUCACCCUCAUCCUCUGUGCGGGAGAGGGCAGCAACAUACACGCCUGGCACCUUCCUUCUUUCCAAGAGUUGCGCUUUCCUAACCCUGCUCCCCGCUGGUUUUUCUCAUACUUCCUUGCCCCCUUUUGCAAAAUUUCCGCCUUGAUCUUAAAUACCUCGAAAG
rnacentral:lncRNA from 1 species